rnacentral:rRNA from 1 species
AGUGAACGCUGGCGGUAGGCCUAACACAUGCAAGUCGAACGGCAGCACAGUAAGAGCUUGCUCUUACGGGUGGCGAGUGGCGGACGGGAGAGGAAUACAUCGGAAUCUACUCUUUCGUGGGGGAUAACGUAGGGAAACUUACUCUAAUACCGCAUACGACCUACGGGUGAAAGCAGGGGAUCUUCGGACCUUGCGCGAUUGAACGAGCCGAUGUCGGAGUAGCUAGUUGGCGGGGUAAAGGCCAACCAAGUCGACUAUCCGUAGCUGGUGUGAGAGGAGGGUCGGCGACACUGGAACUGAGACACGGACCAGGCUCCUGCGGGACGCAGCAGUGUGGAAUAGUGGGCAAUAGUGGCGAGCCUGGUCCAGCCAUACCGCGUGGGUGAAGAAGGCCUUCGGGUUGUGAAGCCGUUUUGUUGGGUAAGAAAAGCAUCAGGUUGUGACCCCGCUGUUCUGACGGUACUCAAAGAAGAAGCACCGGCUAACUACGUG